UCUCUCUCGUAGUUUCCUUCUCCCUGUGAAUUUUCCUCUUUCUAAUACCACCACCAUCGUUAUCAUCAACAUCAAAACCAAACCUUUAGUAUUGUCGUUGAGGAAUAAUGGUAUCGUCAUUACCAAUAUAUGAACAAUUUCUUCUACUUUUUUAUUUCACUUAUGUGAAGUAAACCCUAGAUUCAGAUUUGUUUUCUUCUCCUUUUGAUUUUUUUCCGCUCAAAAUCUUUAGCCCGAUUACUAAUCUAGGUCGGAUUCAUCCUGAUCAUGCUAUUUUCUGGAUUUUUUCCCUCCUAUGGAAACUCUAAUUUGUUAACAAUAAAUUACAAUUUUUGACCUAAUGAGGGAAAUCUGAAUUAAUCCGAUUGCAAGCGAAGCUGUGUUCUGUGAUUUUUUUUUUUUUUGCCCGAUUCUUUCUUCAAAUGUCAGAUGUAAGAACCAGGAUGAGAUGAUCAUGUUAGCCAGGUUCUCUGAACCCUACAAGGGAAUUGGAGAGUGUUUUGGAUGAAUAAUCAAGGAAGAAAGAUUUGGGUCAUUGUGGAGAGGAAACAUAGCCAAUGUCAUGCGUUACUUUCCUUCUAGUUUGUUGUUUAAUUUAACCUAAUUAUGUUCUCAUAUUCUGGAUUAUUAAAGAUUAAUCACUAAAUUGUUUUAAGAACUGUAAGGCUUUGAACUUUGCAUUCAAGGAUAACUUCAAGAGGCUCUUUAGUUUCAAAAUGGACAAAGAUGGUUACUGGAAUUGAUUUUCUUGUAACUUGGCAUCUGGAGGUGCUGCUGGUGCUUCUUCAGGACGCUGUAUCCAUCUUGCCAGCCUUUCACUAAGGAUAGUUGUCAUCUACCACCAAAUGAAUUCCUGUUACAACAGCAAUGUCUUUGAUAUCCUACUUCCAUGAACCAAAGAGCUAUCCCUGCUCACAAAUUGGAAUGUGUUGUGCUUCAGUUUAUGACUAUCUUUUCCUUACUUUUUCAAUUUAUUCAGUAGUGUAGACAAGGACAUGACAUUUUCUGUUAGACAAAGUUUCUAUUUGUUUUCCUGUUCCAUUGUAAACUAAAAAAAAUGCUCUCAGUGACUCAUAUUAUUUUAUGUUGGUAAAUCCUCUGGGUGUACUAUGAGUUAUAAGGUUGAUUAAACCGUUUUCUGUUACAGAGAAUACAAGCUGGUGCUGUGAAAGUUCUUUCAAUGUUGUGCAUUGUGGCAGAGAAUGCACAGCCAUAUCUGUUUGGAAGUGUAUGCUGUUUUCCGAUGAUGCACAGUAUGAUAGAGGGAACCAUCUUGCCAGCGAAUCACAAAGCUAGUUUGAGGUGGAGGAUUGCUAAAGACAACACAUUGAGGAACUUAGGUGCAGUCCUCCAGAUGAGGAGGGGAAAGUUUCCUGUAGACUUAGCAGAAGGGGCGCUCUGAGCACUUUGCUUGCAAGCACUAGGUCAGAGACACUCUCAGGCCUAUCUAAUUGAAUACAUACCAAAGGAACAAAGGGACUGUCAAAGUGAGCCUAGCAUGUACAAAUUCAGGCCCUGCUCAUAAUUGGCGACCUAGGCUAAAAGUGGGGAGUGAAUUUUAGAUUGUUAUUGCAUGUUUUUGAAAUGUAGGAAAUGUUUCUAUACUUGCAAUUCAUUUGAUACUUCACA